rnacentral:rRNA from 1 species
CUUGACUGUAUCCUGGAAUUGGGUUCGGGCUUUUCUUGCGCGGCCUAGGUGGGAGGCUAUGAAGAUUUCCUUCCGGGGAAGUUGGAGCCAUCAGUGAGAGACCACUCUGGAGAGGCUAGAAUCCUAAUGGUGAUCCUUGAAUCAGGACACUUGACAGUUUCAGGUGGGCAGUUUUUCUGGGGCGGAAGCCUCAUAAAGGGUAACUGAGGCGCGCAAAGGUCCCCUCAGUCUGGACGGAAAUCAGACAACGAGUGUAAAGGCAAAAGGGGGCUUGACUGCAAGACCUACAAGUCGAGCAGGAGCGAAAGCCGGCCUGAGUGAUCCGACGGUGCCGUGUGGAAGGGCCGUCGCUCAACGAAUAAAAGUUA